CCUACGGGUGGCAGCAGUGAGGAAUAUUGGUCAAUGGGCGUAAGCCUGAACCAGCCAAGUCGCGUGAGGGAUGAAGGUUCUAUGGAUCGUAAACCUCUUUUAUCAGGGAAUAAAGUGUGGGACGUGUCCUAUUUUGUAUGUACCUUAUGAAUAAGGAUCGGCUAACUCCGUGCCAGCAGCCGCGGUAAUACGGAGGAUCCGAGCGUUAUCCGGAUUUAUUGGGUUUAAAGGGUGCGUAGGCGGCCUUUUACGUCAGCGGUGAAAGUCUGUGGCUCACCCAUAGAAUUGCCGUUGAAACUGGGGGGCUUGAGUAUGUUUGAGGCAGGCGGAAUGCGUGGUGUAGCGGUGAAAUGCUUAGAUAGCACGCAGAACCCCGAUUGCGUAGGCAGCCUGCCAAGCCAUGACUGACGCUGAUGCACGAAAGCGUGGGGAUCAAACAGGAUUAGAUACCCCAGUAGUC
rnacentral:rRNA from 1 species